AGCGAACGCAGCGCAACAAAACAAACUAGUGCCGGCUUCCUGUUGUGCAACUCGCUCCUGAGUUCUCCCGCCAGGUACCUAAUUGAAUCAUCCAUAGGAUGACAAAUCAGCCAGGGCCAAGAUUUCCAGACACUUGAGUGACUUCCCGGUCCCCGAGGUGACUUGUCAGCUCCAGUGACACCGGCUUGGAUGAGACACAGGCGUGGAAAACAGCCUUCGUGAAACUCCACAAACACGUGGAACUUGAAAAGACAACUACAGCCCCGCGUGUGCGCGAGAGACCUCACGUCACCCCAUCAGUUCCCACUUCGCCAAAGUUUCCCUUCAGUGGGGACUCCAGAGUGGUGCGCCCCAUGCCCGUGCGUCCUGUAACGUGCCCUGAUUGUGUACCCCUCUGCCCGCUCUACUUG
rnacentral:lncRNA from 10 species